rnacentral:rRNA from 1 species
GACGAACGCUGGCGGCGUGCCUAAUACAUGCAAGUCGAACGCUUCUUUCCUCCCGAGUGCUUGCACUCAAUUGGAAAGAGGAGUGGCGGACGGGUGAGUAACAGGUGGGUAACCUACCCAUCAGAGGGGGAUAACACUUGGAAACAGGUGCUAAUACCGCAUAACAGUUUAUGCCGCAUGGCAUAAGAGUGAAAGGCGCUUUCGGGUGUCGCUGAUGGAUGGACCCGCGGUGCGUUAGCUAGUUGGUGAGGUAACGGCUCACCAAGGCCACGAUGCAUAGCCGACCUGAGAGGGUGAUCGGCCACACUGGGACUGAGACACGGCCCAGACUCCUACGGGAGGCAGCAGUAGGGAAUCUUCGGCAAUGGACGAAAGUCUGACCGAGCAACGCCGCGUGAGUGAAGAAGGUUUUCGGAUCGUAAAACUCUGUUGUUAGAGAAGAACAAGGACGUUAGUAACUGAACGUCCCCUGACGGUAUCUAACCAGAAAGCCACGGCUAACUACGU